AUUGAACGCUGGCGGCAUGCUUAACACAUGCAGGUCGAACGGUAACAGGCCGCAAGGUGCUGACGAGUGGCGAACGGGUGAGUAAUGCAUCGGAACGUGCCCAGUCGUGGGGGAUAACGCAGCGAAAGCUGCGCUAAUACCGCAUACGAUCUCUGGAUGAAAGCGGGGGACCGAAAGGCCUCGCGCGAUUGGCGCGGCCGAUGUCAGAUUAGGUAGUUGGUGGGGUAAAGGCCCACCAAGCCAACGAUCUGGAGCUGGUCUGGGAGGACGACCAGCCACACUGGGACUGAGACACGGCCCAGACUCCUACGGGAGGCAGCAGCGGGGAAUUUUGGACAAUGGGCGCAAGCCUGAUCCAGCAAUGCCGCGUGCAGAAAGAAGGCCUUCGGGUUGUAAACUGCUUUUGUACGGAACGAAACGGUCCGGGUUAAUACCCUGGGCUAAUGACGGUACCGUAAGAAUAAGCACCGGCUAACUACGUGCCAGCCGCCGCCGUAAAAC
rnacentral:rRNA from 1 species